rnacentral:rRNA from 1 species
GACGUAGGGCGCGAGCGUUGUCCGGAUUUAUUGGGCGUAAAGGGCGCGUAGGCGGCUCGGCACGUCCGUUGUGAAAUCGCCCGGCUCAACUGGGCGGGGUCAGCGGAUACGGCAGAGCUUGAGCAAGCUAGGGGGCAAUGGAAUUCCCGGUGUAGUGGUGGAAUGCGUAGAUAUCGGGAGGAACACCAAUUGCGAAGGCAGCUCGCUGGGACGUUACUGACGCUGAGACGCGAAAGCGUGGGGAGCAAACAGG